GAUGAACGCUGGCGGCGUGCUUAACACAUGCAAGUCGAACGGAAAGGCCCAAGCUUGCUUGGGUACUCGAGUGGCGGACGGGUGAGUAACACGUGGGUGAUCUGCCCUGCACUUCGGGAUAAGCCUGGGAAACUGGGUCUAAUACCGGAUAGGACGAUGGUUUGGAUGCCAUUGUGGAAAGUUUUUUCGGUGUGGGAUGAGCUCGCGGCCUAUCAGCUUGUUGGUGGGGUAAUGGCCUACCAAGGCGUCGACGGGUAGCCGGCCUGAGAGGGUGUACGGCCACAUUGGGACUGAGAUACGGCCCAGACUCCUACGGGAGGCAGCAGUGGGGGAUAUUGCACAAUGGGCGCAAGCCUGAUGCAGCGACGCCGCGUGGGGGAUGACGGCCUUCGGGUUGUAAACUCCUUUCGCUAGGGACGAAGCGUUUUUGUGACGGUACCUGGAGAAGAAGCACCGGCUAACUACGU
rnacentral:rRNA from 1 species